rfam:Enteractinococcus sp. TASWS1574 117, whole genome shotgun sequence.
GCCCGAAUGGCGGAAUUGGUAGACGCGUUGCACUCAAAAUGCAAUAUCGAAAGAUGUGUGGGUUCGAGUCCCACUUCGGGUA